rnacentral:rRNA from 1 species
UGGGGGAUAUUGCACAAUGGGCGAAAGCCUGAUGCAGCGACGCCGCGUGGGGGAUGAAGGCUUUCGGGUUGUAAACCUCUUUCGCUAUCGAACAAGGCCCGCUUAGGGUGGGUUGAGGGUAGGUGGAGAAGAAGCGCCGGCUAACUACGUGCCAGCAGCCGCGGUAAUACGUAGGGCGCGAGCGUUGUCCGGAAUUAUUGGGCGUAAAGGGCUUGUAGGCGGCUUGUUGCGCCUGCUGUGAAAACGCGGGGCUUAACUUCGCGCGUGCAGUGGGUACGGGCAGGCUUGAGUGUGGUAGGGGUGAAGGGAAUUCCAGGUGUAGCGGUGGAAUGCGCAGAUAUCUGGGGGAACACCGAUGGCGAAGGCAGGUCACUGGGCCAUUACUGACGCUGAGGAGCGAAAGCAUGGGUAGCGAACAGG